rnacentral:snRNA from 1 species
GCUCACUUUGACAGCAUAUAACAAAAUUGGAAUAAUACAGAGAAGAUUAGCAUGGCCCCUGCACAAAGAUGACAUGCAAAUUCAUGAAGCAUUCCAUAUUUUU